rnacentral:tRNA from 1 species
AGCUAUGUAGCUUAAGUGGUUAGAGCACAGCACUCAUAACGCUGAGAUUAUGGGUUCGAGUCCCAUCAUAGCUA